GAUCCCCGUCCCACCUUCUCCUGUAGCUUCAGCCCAGGCCUUCCCCGACACCGGGCCUUGCGCACAGCCCCCAUCCAGCCCCGUGUCUGGGGUGAGCAUAGGUGGGGAGGGCCCCAAGCUCACGUGAGCACGUUCUGGAAGUCUGACCCUUAGGGAAAGAGGGAGUCAAGCCCAUGGCCACUGGGAUCACUCACAAGUGUAACUCUCCACCUCAAAACCCUUCCAACUCCCAGAGCCUGUGCCUCUGGAGGAGGUCCAAUUGGUGGUGGAGCCAGAAGGUGGAGCAGUAGCUCCUGGUGGAACCGUAACCCUGACCUGUGAAGUCCCUGCCCAGCCCUCUCCUCAAAUCCACUGGAUGAAGGAUGGUGUGCCCUUGCCCCUUCCCCCCAGCCCUGUGCUGAUCCUCCCUGAGAUAGGGCCUCAGGACCAGGGAACCUACAGCUGUGUGGCCACCCAUUCCAGCCACGGGCCCCAGGAAAGCCGUGCUGUCAGCAUCAGCAUCAUCGAACCAGGCGAGGAGGGGCCAACUGCAGGUGAGGGGUUUGAUAAAGUCAGGGAAGCAGAAGAUAGCCCCCAACACAUGUGACUGGGGGGAUGGUCAACAAGAAAGGAAUGGAAGGCCCCAGAAAACCAGGAGGAAGAGGAGGAGCGUGCAGAACUGAAUCAGUCGGAGGAACCUGAGGCAGGCGAGAGUAGUACUGGAGGGCCUUGAGGGGCCCACAGACAGAUCCCAUCCAUCAGCUCCCUUUUCUUUUUCCCUUGAACUGUUCUGGCCUCAGACCAACUCUCUCCUGUAUAAUCUCUCUCCUGUAUAACCCCACCUUGCCAAGCUUUCUUCUACAACCAGAGCCCCCCACAAUGAUGAUUAAACACCUGACACAUCUUGC
rnacentral:lncRNA from 1 species